UACGGGGGGGGCAAGCGUCGUUCGGAAUUACUGGGCGUAAAGGGCUCGUAGGCGGCCAACUAAGUCAGACGUGAAAUCCCCAGGCUCAACCUGGGAACUGCGUCUGAUACUGGAUGGCUUGAAUUCGGGAGAGGGAUGCAGAAUUCCAGGUGUAGCGGUGAAAUGCGUAGAUAUCUGGAGGAACACCGAUGGCGAAGGCAGCUGCCUGGCCCAGAACUGACGCUGAGGUGCGAAAGCGUGGGGAGCGAACGGG
rnacentral:rRNA from 1 species